rnacentral:rRNA from 1 species
CCUACGGGCGGCAGCAGUGGGGAAUAUUGCACAAUGGGCGAAACCCUGAUGCAGCGACGCCGCGUGAGUGAAGAAGCGCCUCGGCGCGUAAAGCUCCUUUAGCAGGGACGACGAUGACGGUACCUGUAGAAGAAGCCCCGGCUAACUACGAUCCAGCAGCCGCGGUAAUACGUAGGGCGCAAGCGUUAUCCGGAUUUACUGGGUGUAAAGGGAGCGUAGACGGGGGGGCAAGUCUGGAGUGAAAGGCCGGGGCCCAACCCCGGGACCGCGCUGGAAACUGCCCGGCUGGAGUGCGGGAGAGGUAAGCGGAAUUCCUAGUGUAGCGGUGAAAUGCGUAGAUAUUAGGAGGAACACCAGCGGCGAAGGCGGCUUACUGGACCGUGACUGACGUUGAGGCUCGAAAGCGUGGGGAGCGAACAGGAUUAGAUACCCCAGUAGUC